rnacentral:rRNA from 1 species
CAGUAGCCGCGGGAAAACGGAGGGUGCAAGCGUUAAUCGGAAUUACUGGGCGUAAAGCGCACGCAGGCGGUCUGACAAGUCAGAUGUGAAAUCCCCGGGCUUAACCUGGGAACUGCAUUUGAAACUGUCAGGCUGGAGUCUUGUAGAGGGGGGUGGAAUUCCAGGUGUAGCGGUGAAAUGCGUAGAGAUCUGGAGGAAUACCGAUGGCGAAGGCAGCCAUCUGGCCUAAUACUGACGCUGAGGUACGAAAGCAUGGGGAGCAAACAGGAUUAGAUACCCGCGUAGUCCCUGUCUCUUAUAC